rnacentral:rRNA from 1 species
CAUGAAGCUGGAAUUGCUAGUAAUGGCAGGUCAGCAUACUGCCGUGAAUACGUUCCCGGGCCUUGUACACACCGCCCGUCACACCAUGAGAGUUGGAAAUACCCGAAGCCUGUGAGCUAACCUUUUAGGAGGCAGCAGUCGAAGGUGGGGUUGAUGAUUGGGGUGAAGUCGUAACAAGGUAAC